UUUGCUCGAGUUGGUAGUGUGACUCUCUGCAAUUUAUUGUAUCGUGGGUUUGAUUCCUGUCGGCGC
rnacentral:tRNA from 1 species